UUAAAGUUAGUUUAUUAAAAAACAUUAGUCUGUGGAACUAAAAAUAUCCCAUUGGAGUACUUUAAA
rnacentral:tRNA from 1 species